rnacentral:rRNA from 1 species
GAUGAACGCUGGCGGCGUGCCUAAUACAUGCAAGUCGAGCGAAUGGAUUAAGAGCUUGCUCUUAUGAAGUUAGCGGCGGACGGGUGAGUAACACGUGGGUAACCUGCCCAUAGGACUGGGAUAACUCCGGGAAACCGGGGCUAAUACCGGAUAAUAUUUUGAACUGCAUGGUUCAAAAUUGAAAGGCGGCUUCGGCUGUCACUUAUGGAUGGACCCGCGUCGCAUUAGCUAGUUGGUGAGGUAACGGCUCACCAAGGCAACGAUGCGUAGCCGACCUGAGAGGGGGAGCGGCCACACGGGGACUGAGACACGGCCCAGAAUCCUACGGGAGGCAGCAGUAGGGAAUCUUCCGCAAUGGACGAAAGUCUGACGGAGCAACGCCGCGUGAGUGAUGAAGGCUUUCGGGUCGUAAAACUCUGUUGUUAGGGAAGAACAAGUGCUAGUUGAAUAAGCUGGCACCUUGACGGUACCUAACCAGAAAGCCACGGCUAACUACGUGCCAGCCGCCGCAGUAA